GACGAACGCUGGCGGCGCGCUUAACACAUGCAAGUCGAGCGAGAACCGGCCUUCGGGCCGGGGAAAGCGGCGAACGGGUGAGUAACACGUGGGUAAUCUGCCCUCGGCACCGGGAUAGCCCGGGGAAACCCGGAUUAAUACCGGAUGGCCCUUUGAAUCCUCGGAUUCAAAGGAAAAGGUAGCUUCGGCCUCCGGCCGAGGAUGAGCCCGCGGCGGAUUAGCUUGUUGGUGGGGUAACGGCCUACCAAGGCGACGAUCCGUAGCUGGUCUGGGCGGACGAUCAGGCACACUGGGACUGAGACACGGCCCAGACUCCUACGGGAGGCAGCAGUGGGGAAUCUUGCGCAAUGGGCGAAAGCCUGACGCAGCGACGCCGCGUGAGGGAAGAAGGCCUUCGGGUUGUAAACCUCUUUCAGGAGGGACGAAGCCACUCGGGUUAAUAGCCCAGAGGGUGACGGUACCUCCAGAAGAAGCCCCGGCUAACUACGUGCCAGCCGCCGCAGUAAGAC
rnacentral:rRNA from 1 species